UUGCAAACGUCCUAUUUUCUACAAGAUCACACUGGAGAUGCGAUUGCUUAAGGAUUGAAAGAGAUGCUGGCUGCCUUUAAUAUAUAGCUUUAGUAAACUGUGUGCGUGUGUGUGUGUGUAUUUAGAACAUGCUUUGAAAGAUGGACGGAUUGACCGUGCACUGAAUGUCUGCAAAAAGGUGGUGGGGUGUAUCUCCUAUAACUGGAGACGAAGGAGGGAGUUGUCCGAGGCCCAGAAAGAGCUCAAGUUACCUCAAAACAAGCUCAAGACUGAGUGUCCAACGAGAAAAGCCAGACACCUUGUUCCCACAUGGCAGGAUGUAGAAGUCCUUGAGGCGGUCAACAACUCCCUUUCUCCACUUGCUGAAUUCACUGAUGCUCUUUCAGGAGAGCAAUAUGUAAGUAGGGAGAAACAGAACUGUCAAAAUGCAUCAAGAAGAAGAUCCUGGACUACCUGAAUGAGAAGUAUGAUGAUUCACAGACUCAAGAGUUGGCUCAAGACAGGGCUUCUGCAAUUGAUCUCAGAUUCAAGCUCAAGUACGUCAACAAAGACAGAGUUGAAGCUGUCAAGAUUCGUUUGAGAACUGAAAUGGCAUCAAUAUCUACAGUC